rnacentral:rRNA from 1 species
GACGAACGCUGGCGGCGUGCUUAACACAUGCAAGUCGAACGGAAAGGCCCUGCUUUUGUGGGGUGCUCGAGUGGCGAACGGGUGAGUAACACGUGAGUAACCUGCCCUUGACUUUGGGAUAACUUCAGGAAACUGGGGCUAAUACCGGAUAGGAGCUCCUGCUGCAUGGUAGGGGUUGGAAAGUUUCGGCGGGUGGGGAUGGACUCGCGGCUUAUCAGCUUGUUGGUGGGGUAGGGGCUUACCAAGGCUUUGACGGGUAGCCGGCCUGAGAGGGUGACCGGGCACAUUGGGACUGAGAGACGGCCCAGAGUCCUACGGGAGGCAGCAGUGGGGAAUAUUGCACAAUGGGCGGAAGCCUGAUGCAGCAACGCCGCGUGCGGGAUGACGGCCUUCGGGUUGUAAACCGCUUUCGCCUGUGACGAAGCGUGAGUGACGGUAAUGGGUAAAGAAGCACCGGCUAACUACGUG